rnacentral:tRNA from 1 species
UUGCUUUGGCAGAGUAGUGCUUUAAAUUUAGAAUUUAAAUAUGUAAUUUUAUUACAAGCAAUA